GAUGAAGAAUGUAGCGAAAUGCGAUAAGUAAUGUGAAUUGCAGAAUUCAGUGAAUCAUCGAAUCUUUGAACGCACCUUGCACCCUUUGGACUGCUCCAAAGGGUAUGCUCGUUUGAGUGUCAUUGUACUCUCACACUCUCUGAUCCUUUGGAUUUGGGGAGCAGUGGACUUGGGUGCUUGCUGCUUCCUUGUGGCUCACCUGAAAUGCAUCAGUGCAUCUCUCGAUUGGACAUAGUACGGCGUGAUAAGUGUCUUCGCCGGCACCUCAUAUGAGGGUGGCCGAUCGGGAGCUCUGUGCUUUCAAACCGUCUUCGGACAACGCUGACAACUUGACCUCAAAUCGAGUAGGACUACCCGCUGAACUUAAGCAUAUCAAUAAGCGGAGGA
rnacentral:misc_RNA from 1 species